rnacentral:rRNA from 1 species
GACGAACGCUGGCGGCGUGCUUAACACAUGCAAGUCGAGCGGUAAGGCCUUUCGGGGUACACGAGCGGCGAACGGGUGAGUAACACGUGGGUGAUCUGCCCUGCACUUCGGGAUAAGCCUGGGAAACUGGGUCUAAUACCGGAUAUGACUCAGGUUGCAUGACUUGGGGUGGAAAGAUUUAUCGGUGCAGGAUGGGCCCGCGGCCUAUCAGCUUGUUGGUGGGGUAAUGGCCUACCAAGGCGACGACGGGUAGCCGACCUGAGAGGGUGACCGGCCACACUGGGACUGAGACACGGCCCAGACUCCUACGGGAGGCAGCAGUGGGGAAUAUUGCACAAUGGGCGAAAGCCUGAUGCAGCGACGCCGCGUGAGGGAUGACGGCCUUCGGGUUGGAAACCUCUUUCAGCAGGGACGAAGCGCAA